CUUCUCCAGAGGGGCGAGCUUCCCAGGCCCCAGCUCACCAAGGUGGGCCUGACGGCACCCCGGGAGAGGAAGCUGCCCCUCCCUGACCCUGGGAACCACCCACAGCUGAGAGAGGGGCUACCGAGAAGGCACUAGGAGCCGCCAAGCUGCAGCCCUAGGCUUAGCUCUGCCAUGCACAUGCUAGCUGCCUUGGCGAACCUUCCCUUUGCCUGAGCAUCAGUUUCGGACAGAGCCGGGACGAGGGGAGCUUGCAUGCACGCGUCUAAUGCGUUUGCCCUCCCCUUUGGGGAAGAAAGCCUUGUCCUCAAACACAUCAGAUAAGAAAACAGAGAUUAAAUCACUUGUCCGGGACCCUCCAGGCAGAGGAGAUGCAGGCUCCAUUCGUCUGACCCCAAAGGCCAAGCUCUUUUCUGAGCAAACCGACCAGGUCAGGCGCUGACCAGGCUGGAUCUGGCCCUGGGAUACGUGGCGUCUGGCUUGAGUGAGGCUUCAAACAUCGGAGAUUUUUACAGAAAUCCGGCUUCUGGAUGGUAGACUUGGGAAAUCUGGCAACACAGAGCCCUCCUUCCACGUAGCAGUCAUGAGCUGGAGCUGCGUGGAGGCCCAGACCUCCGGACAAGCCUCCCUGGUGAGCUGGGUUCCUCUCCGGCUGGGCAGCUGGCCCGCCUGGCUCUUGAGCACCUGCCCGGCCCCUCCAGGCCCUGCUGCCCCCGUGACCCCUGGCCUGGGGAAUAUUCCUGACCCUGCACCCAGCCAUGGGGAAAAGCUGGAAGGCGCAGAUGAGGAAACUGUGGCCCAGAGACAGGACAGGCUUUCCUCCACGUCUCACAGGCAGCUGUCCUGACUUACAGCCGGUGCCCACCAGUGUCUCCACCUCUGAGGAAGCCCCACCCCUAAUCUCUCAGGAAUGCAAAUACUGGCCCAAACCAUAUAAUUCCUGGUGAAAACUAGAAAAAAAUAUCAUUUUCUUCAGCCAAACAGAGCCCUGCAUCAGCACCCAUGCCAUGGCAAGCGGACUGUAGGAAUUCAG